CAGUAGCCGCGGUAAUACGUAGGUGGCAAGCGUUGUCCGGAAUUAUUGGGCGUAAAGGGCUCGCAGGCGGUUUCUUAAGUCUGAUGUGAAAGCCCCCGGCUCAACCGGGGAGGGUCAUUGGAAACUGGGAAACUUGAGUGCAGAAGAGGAGAGUGGAAUUCCACGUGUAGCGGUGAAAUGCGUAGAGAUGUGGAGGAACACCAGUGGCGAAGGCGACUCUCUGGUCUGCAACUGACGCUGAGGAGCGAAAGCGUGGGGAGCGAACAGGAUUAGAUACCCCUGUAGUCCCUGUCUCUUAUAC
rnacentral:rRNA from 1 species